rnacentral:tRNA from 1 species
CCAGGGGUGGCAGAGUGGUCAAUUGCAACAGUCUGUAAAACUGUCGCCUUUACGGCUGCGGAGGUUCGAAUCCUCCCCCCUGGA